rnacentral:rRNA from 1 species
UGCCUAAUACAUGCAAGUUGAGCGCUGAAGGUUGGUACUUGUACCGACUGGAUGAGCAGCGAACGGGUGAGUAACGCGUGGGGAAUCUGCCUUUGAGCGGGGGACAACAUUUGGAAACGAAUGCUAAUACCGCAUAAAAACUUUAAACACAAGUUUUAAGUUUGAAAGAUGCAAUUGCAUCACUCAAAGAUGAUCCCGCGUUGUAUUAGCUAGUUGGUGAGGUAAAGGCUCACCAAGGCGAUGAUACAUAGCCGACCUGAGAGGGUGAUCGGCCACAUUGGGACUGAGACACGGCCCAAACUCCUACGGGAGGCAGCAGUAGGGAAUCUUCGGCAAUGGACGAAAGUCUGACCGAGCAACGCCGCGUGAGUGAAGAAGGUUUUCGGAUCGUAAAACUCUGUUGGUAGAGAAGAACGUUGGUGAGAGUGGAAAGCUCAUCAAGUGACGGUAACUACCCAGAAAGGGACGGCUAACUACGUGCCAGCAGCCGCGGUAAUACGUAGGUCCCGAGCGUUGUCCGGAUUUAUUGGGCGUAAAGCGAGCGCAGGUGGUUUAUUAAGUCUGGUGUAAAAGGCAGUGGCUCAACCAUUGUAUGCAUUGGAAACUGGUAGACUUGAGUGCAGGAGAGGAGAGUGGAAUUCCAUGUGUAGCGGUGAAAUGCGUAGAUAUAUGGAGGAACACCGGUGGCGAAAGCGGCUCUCUGGUCUGUAACUGACACUGAGGCUCGAAAGCGUGGGGAGCAAACAGGAUUAGAUACCCUGGUGCUGCACGCCGUAAACGAUGAGUGCUAGAUGUAGGGAGC